rnacentral:misc_RNA from 1 species
GAUGAAGAACGUAGCGAAAUGCGAUAAGUAAUGUGAAUUGCAGAAUUCAGUGAAUCAUCGAAUCUUUGAACGCACCUUGCGCCCUUUGGCCAUUCCGAAGGGCAUGCCUGUUUGAGUAUCAUGAACACCUCAACUCUCAUGGCUUGCCAUGAUGAGCUUGGACUUUGGGGGUCUUGCUGGCCUGUGGUCGGCUCCUCUCAAAUGAAUCAGCUUUCCAGUGUUUGGUGGCAUCACAAGUGUGAUAACUAUCUGCGCUCGUGGUUUCCAUCAGAUAACCUCCAGUGAUGGAGGUUCGCUGGAGCUCAUAAAUGUCUCUCCUAAGCGAGGACAGCUCUUUUAAUGUUUGAUCUCAAAUCAGGUAGGACUACCCGCUGAACUUAAGCAUAUCAAUAAGCGGAGGA